UACCUACUCUUGACAUCCAGAGAACUUAGCAGAGAUGCUUUGGUGCCUUCGGGAACUCUGAGACAGGUGCUGCAUGGCUGUCGUCAGCUCGUGUUGUGAAAUGUUGGGUUAAGUCCCGCAACGAGCGCAACCCUUAUCCUUUGUUGCCAGCGGUUCGGCCGGGAACUCAAAGGAGACUGCCAGUGAUAAACUGGAGGAAGGUGGGGAUGACGUCAAGUCAUCAUGGCCCUUACGAGUAGGGCUACACACGUGCUACAAUGGCGCAUACAAAGAGAAGCGACCUCGCGAGAGCAAGCGGACCUCAUAAAGUGCGUCGUAGUCCGGAUUGGAGUCUGCAACUCGACUCCAUGAAGUCGGAAUCGCUAGUAAUCGUAGAU
rnacentral:rRNA from 1 species